rnacentral:rRNA from 1 species
CGAACGGUCGCGUAACACGUAAGCAACCUGCCCCGAAGACCGGGACAACAGUGGGAAACCGCUGCUAAUACCGGAUGUGGCCAUUGGGGGACAUCCCCUGGUGAUUAAAUCAAGCAAUUGGCUUCGGGAGGGGCUUGCGGCCUAUCAGCUAGUUGGUGGGGUAACGGCCUACCAAGGCGACGACGGGUAGCUGGUCUGAGAGGACGGCCAGCCGGACUGGGACUGAGAUACGGCCCAG